AUACGUAGGGGGCGAGCGUUGUCCGGAAUUACUGGGCGUAAAGGGUGCGUAGGCGGCAUGUUAAGUUGGAUGUGAAAUACCCGGGCUCAACCUGGGGGGUGCAUUCAAAACUGGCAAGCUAGAGUGCAGGAGAGGGAAGCGGAAUUCCUAGUGUAGCGGUGAAAUGCGUAGAUAUUAGGAAGAACACCAGUGGCGAAGGCGACUUACUGGACUGAAACUGACGCUGAGGCUCGAAAGCGUGGGGAGC
rnacentral:rRNA from 1 species